GGUCUGCAAUAAAUACGUUUGUGUGCAUGAGGCCUUAGUUUCUUAAAUUGACUUGCAUUGUUAUUUUCAUCAUAUAUUUAGUUUUUUCUUUUUUAGUCAUUUUCGGUCACAAAAAAAAAAAAAAGGAUCUAUUACUUUCGCACUGGCGCCUGUGCCCUCACAGGAUGCUGACAUUCUUUGCUGUGUACAUCGGGAGAGGGUCAGCAGUCAUCUCAUUAUCAUCACAGGCAGGAUUGCAAUAAAAAGUAACACCUCUGUUAUAAAGCUGGGGGCUGAUAACACAUGGACAAUGGUUGUGUCUAAACACCAAGCACCGUAGGGGCCUUGUGAUGUCACAGUGUCAUGUGACAUUCAAAGCCUCAAUGUCAAAGUGACCAUGCGUCUCACCCUAAAAAAAUCAUCAUUAGGGUUGGUUAUUAUUACUUUUAUAUUAUAUUAGUAAUGUUUAUUACCACAUGUAGAUAUCACCCUGUUGCUACAUCCCACGGCUGCUUCAAACCCACCUGCCUUUAGCAUGUCACAUGACCCUGUGACAUCACAAGGUCCUUACGGUGCAUGGACAAUAGGUGAGAGGUCAGCUAAGCUCCUCCUCCUUUGUGCAUGGACAAUAGGUGAGAGGUCAGCUAAGCUCCUCCUCUUUUGUCCAUGGACAAUAGGUGAGAGGUCAGCUAAGCUCCUCCUCCUUUGUCCAUGGACAAUAGGUGAGAGGUCAGCUAAGCUCCUCCUUCUUUUGUCCAUGGACAAUAGGUGAGACGUCAGCUAAGCUCCUCCUCCUUUGCGCAUAGACAAUAGGUGAGAGGUCAGCUAAGCUCCUCCUCCUUUGCGCAUGGACAAUAGGUGAGAGGUCAGCUAAGCUCCUCCUCCUUUCUGUAAAUGUCACGAGAGCAUGCCCACAACAAUCUACCAUAGAAAUCAGUAGGUCGUUACUUUCUUAUGUCCCCAGGUAAUCCCCGUAAUCACGUAAAAAAAAAAAAAGAAGCUGAAUAAGUAUAAAAUCUAAUUAUAAAAACGGAUUGGAUAAAAGGGUUUGCUUUCGGUAUAUUUAUAUUUAAUUAAAAAAAAAUUGAAUUAAAAAAAGGUUUAAAAAAAAACAAAACAAAAAACAGACUGACUACUUCCCUCUGUAAGCACCAGGGAUUGUUUGAUGCUGCUGAUGUUACUAUCGCUGUGCCCGUAGAGCCGCACAUGUCAAGGGAGGUGACUUGUGGAUUCUUCUUCAGGAUUUGUGUGGUUUGUGCUUAAAUCUUGAACAUUUUGAUUUUUAGUUUUCGACACAAUAUGUACGGCUUCUACUGUGGAACCAUCUCGCCCUUCCCACUGCGCUGCUGUGGCACCAUGUAGAACUUUUAUAUCCUGUUGUAGUUGUUUUUGGGCUUUUUUUUGUCCAGGUUUGUUCCUGUUGGACCUGGUCCCUCAGACUAUGCGGAUGUGUUUUAUGCUGCUUAUGUUAUUCUUUGUUUUAGUGAUAGGCUUUCUUUUUUUUUUUACGGGAUGUCUGGGGUGGAGAUAAUAAUGAAGCGCCGCCGUGAUUCACCACAGGCCAAACAUGAUGACAUGCACACAUUUCAUAACUACAGGUGACCUGAUCCGAAUAUAGCGAUGGGAACAAUGGGAGCAGAUUACAGGAGUCAGAUGGACCCGUCUUAUAUAUAUAUAUAUAAAAAAGAAGCAAAAAUCGGAUGACUUGUGGGUACAGUUCAUCUAAUGUCCCUCCUUCAUUCCUUCUUUUCAGCGUUGUAUUUUUAAUAUGUUUUUUUUUUUUUUUUAACAUCAUGUUUUGUGGAUUUUUUCCGAGUGUUUUUGUUCUUCAUAAUGAACUGAUUAAAGGAGCUCCACGGUUUUAACAUUUAAAGGGGUUGUCCGGUUUAGAAACCACAUUAAACAGGUUCUCCAAGUUCCAAAAUUUGGGAGUCAGUUAAAAUAAUAAUAAAAGGAACCACACACCUUCAGAAGGCUCCUCCGAUCCAGCACCGCCAUGCUGAAUCCGCGAUGUCCCCUAUACUACUGCAGCCAAUCACUAGCCCUAGGGGUAUCACCACUGAGACCAUUGGUUGGCUGCAGUCGUCCUAUGCUUAGAUGACCGUUGCCAAAGCAACGGCAGCUGAAACGGGUAAGUAUUUAUUGUAUUUUUUCAAGACCUCCCAGCCUAUAGGU